GGGGGCCCGUCAGGGCGGACCGACAGGAGCAACCGCUGUGGGAGUCGCAGCCGCCAUCUUGCGCGUGUCAGGUUGGGAGCGAGGCGGCGCGCGGGUGAGGUGGGAGAGGGGUUUCUAAAGAUUUCAGCAGGCCGUAGGAUGGAGAGGAACCCCCUUCUUCCUACAGUUUGAGUUCUACGGUGAUGAUGACCUCUUCGCUGCUGCCCACAAGGUACUUCAUCUCCAUUGCUCCACAGGCUUAAGCAAACAGGGCCUAAUCCUGCAAGGUGCUGACCCCCUCCACCUAUCACUGUUCUAGAGAAUGGCAGGAGCAAAUCCUGAGGGACUGCAGUUACACCUGACUCUCCAGAAGCCAAUGCAAAGGGAGAAUGGCAUAUAUUUGGAAUCACAAUCAGUCUUAAAUGUAAGGGGUUUAUUAAAGAACACAGCGCUAACUAUAGACCGGUGUUGGCAACCUUUCAGACGUGGUGUGCCGAGUCUUCAUUUAUUCACUGUGGUUUAAGGUUUUGAGUGCCAGUAAUACAUUUUAAAGUUUUUAGAAGGUCUCUUUCUAUAAGUCUAUAAUAUGUAACUAAACUACUGUUGUAGAUAAGGUUUUUAAAAUGUUUAAGAAGUUUCAUUUAAAAUUAAAUUAAAAUGCAUAGCCUCCUGACUGGUGGCCAGAAUCUGGGCAGUGUGAGUGCCACUGAAAAUCAGCCCAUGCGCUGCCUUCGGCAUGCGUGCCAUAAGUUGCCUACCUCUGCUAUAGACAAACAGCCUUCCCAUAGCUUGAGUUCCAGCAUUGUCCUUGUUUACCAGACACCGCACCCUGUCUGGAACACAAUACAGGAUUACACAGAGACAUCUAGUACCUGAACAACACUGCAUGUAAACAUUGGCAUGGAGGGGGAAGUUCCUUUUGCAGGGCCUAUAUCUGUGCGCCCAUAUGAAACCUAAAGGUUAGCGAAGAUCUAGCUUUGGCUUAUUGCAUGAUCCUAACCUUCACCCAAGCGGUAUAAAAAAAUCAUGGUACAUAAAAGGCUUUUUUAAUGGGAACAGUGAAUGACAGAAACAUUCUAUAAAAGCAGCAAAGAGACCUGUGGCACCUUAUAGACUAACAGACGUAUUGGAGCUUUUGUAGGUGAAUACCCACUUCGUCGGAUGCAUGAAUAGAAACAUUCUAUUCAGUCAGAGAAAGCAAAAGUCCAACAUCAAGUGGGCUAAUUUCUGAGCCUUUAUUUGACUUUCUGGUUUUUGUGGCUUUGAUACAUAUUUUCCCGGCUUUCCCAUGUUUGCAUUGCAGUCAGUGAAAGCCGCAUUAGCAAUGUUUCUGCAUUACCUUUCAGAAAGGGAAAUUAAAUUUACCUGCAAGAUCCAAACUUUUAGUAAGUGUUUUUUUUUCUUUUUAACUAGCAACAAUUAAAUAUUUUUCACAGCAUAUCAGCAAAAAUAACUACAGCUACAGUUGAAUGAGGAUUUUGUUAAAAUAACUUCUUUACAAACAAUAGGACUGGGAGCCACAUUCUGAUCUCAGUUAUGCCGUAGUAAAUCAAGAGUAACUUCAUUGAAGGCAACUGGCUUACUCUGGAUUUACACCAGUCUACCUGAGAGCAGAAUAUAGCCCUAAAGGCUCAGUCCUGUUAGGUACUGAGUGCCCUCAACUCUGAGUGAGAUCCCUGAGUGAGAUCACUGGGGGCUAAGAGCACCCACUCCCUUGCAAAAUUGUCCUCUAAAAGUGAGUUGGUUAAAGCAAAAACUGAUCUGCUAAUCUUGAGACAUAGGUGCCAAAAAAACUUUAUUGCUGGAGUGACACCAGAGAUUUCAGUGGGAUGAAUUUGGCAGAAGUUGAAUUAGUAUAGCUGAGAAUCUGCCUUUCAGUAUUUUCGCUCGUGUCCACGCAAAUAAACACUAAUUUAACCCUGCAUUGCUCCAGUUGAUGUUAAUGGAUUUGCAGUGGUGAAUCAAGCCCACAGAUCUUUCCCAGCCAUCGCUCUUUUCCAUCACCUCUCCAGGACACUAGAGAGCUAAUGGGGGAAUUAUGACAAACAAUGGGCUAGGAUUUUCGACCAAGUGAGCUGAUGGCAUUUGAUUUACUCAAAUGUCAAAACUACUUGCUGCACUGACCCUUGUCGUCUGUUACCACUCUGACCGUUCCUCCUUCUUGGCUAGAAAUGACAGAGGAGCGCUGGGGCAGUUUCCUGUCAGUGCUUGCCAUCAGCUCUCACUUUUCAUCCUGCAGCACGUGCCUCAGACUUUCAGUUCUUGGUGACUGAAAAAAAUAUUUAACUUUUUUUUUUCCUCUAGGAUCUCAGCCAAUUUUGAGGCCAGAGGGAAUCAUAGUUUGCUAGGGAGCUGUGCUGCUGAAUACUGAUGUUUCUUGGGCCAGAUACUGCCACCCUUACUCUUGCUAAGUAAUACCUGACUCUAAGUAUGCCAGCUGAUGAUAAUAUACUACACUAGGCCAGGUUUUGCCAUCAGUGUAGCGUUUGGGCCUGAUCCUUUAUGCUUCAAGCAAUAAGCUUGGCAUUAUAUAGCCUUAAAGGGUGCUCGCUUUCUUCCAUGUAUAAAACACACCUAUUGAAACCAUUUCCAAUCCUUUCUUUUCUGCUGUCUCUGAAUUCACUGGUUCAACACAACAGGUACAGAACACAGGUCUGAUUGACAAAAAUGCCUGACUGUCCCGAUGUAGCUACAGUGUCAACCAAGUUAACUGUUGUUUGUUUGAAAGGCUGCCGUCCCUGUACUGUGCUUAGUGUGUGGGGAAAAAUGAAAUGUACCACUUGUUGGAAUCAUACAGGCUAAGCCAUGUCACUUUAUACGCAUCUCUUUAAUAAAAGACAAUUGGCCAAA